rnacentral:rRNA from 1 species
UACGUAGGGGGCAAGCGUUGUCCGGAUUUAUUGGGUUUAAAGGGUGCGUAGGCGGUUCUAUAAGUCAGUGGUGAAAUCCGGCAGCUCAACUGUCGAUGUGCCAUUGAUACUGCAGAACUUGAGUACAGACGAGGUAGGCGGAAUUGACGGUGUAGCGGUGAAAUGCUUAGAUAUCGUCAAGAACACCGAUAGCGAAGGCAGCUUACUAGACUGUAACUGACGCUGAUGCACGAAAGCGUGGGGAGCAAACAGG